UACGUAGGGACCAAGCGUUGUUCGGAUUUACUGGGCGUAAAGGGCGCGUAGGCGGCAAUUCAAGUCAUCUGUGAAAUCUCCGGGCUUAACUCGGAACGGUCAGGUGAAACUGCUUUGCUAGAGUGCGGAAGGGGCAAUCGGAAUUCUCGGUGUAGCGGUGAAAUGCGUAGAUAUCGAGAGGAACACCUGAGGUGAAGACGGGUUGCUGGGCCGUCACUGACGCUGAAACGCGAAAGCCAGGGGAGCAAACGGG
rnacentral:rRNA from 1 species